AACGAACGCUGGCGGCAUGCCUAACACAUGCAAGUCGAACGAGACCUUCGGGUCUAGUGGCGCACGGGUGCGUAACGCGUGGGAACCUGCCCUUAGGUUCGGAAUAACUCCCCGAAAGGGGUGCUAAUACCGGAUAAUGUCUUCGGACCAAAGAUUUAUCGCCUUUGGAUGGGCCCGCGUUGGAUUAGCUAGUUGGUAGGGUAAAAGCCUACCAAGGCGACGAUCCAUAGCUGGUCUGAGAGGAUGAUCAGCCACACUGGGACUGAGACACGGCCCAGACUCCUACGGGAGGCAGCAGGGGGGAAUAUGGGACAAUGGGCGAAAGCCUGAGCCAGCAAUGCCGCGUGAGUGAUGAAGGCCUUAGGGUUGUAAAGCUCUUUUACCCGGGAUGAUAAUGACAGUACCGGGAGAAUAAGCUCCGGCUAACUCCGUG
rnacentral:rRNA from 1 species